AUUAAUUGAUGUACGUUAAAGGAAUAGACACAAAACUGUGGAAUGCGGGUUUUGCAGCAACUUGGCAUCAGCAAUGUAAAGGCAAAAUAAAAGCUGAUGGUAUUUAUUUGAUGUCUCCUGCAGCUUUCGAUUUAAUGCUUCUCAGGUCUUGUCGUUGGUAUGGUUUCUUUGGUAUUUAUUUACUUUGUUUUAAUGGUAUUCUGAUUUCUGAUACCAAACUCCUGCUUCCCUUCCCAUAUUGAAAUUUACCAUUUUUAACAACCAGCUCAACCGGAAUGUUACCAACUUAUUCCAAUUUCUUAAAAAGGUUUUAACCUCCAUAUUAUCAAAUAAUUUUUUUUUAUCAUUCUCAUAAAAAAUUGCACCUAUGAUAUGUUUAGUGUAAAUUACAAAAUAAUAUGUAUUUUACCCUUUGUUUUAUAGAAUAUAUUUGAAUGUAAUGGACUGUAAUGAAAUUUCCUUUAAUCUAAAACGGAAGAACCGAAAACUACAACAAACUGGAAGAGCUGAAAACUAGUUGCUGUAGUUAAAGUUCUUCCGCUGUUGAUGCUUUCUAGCCAUGAAAAUUUCUCAUGAAAUAAAAACAAGAUACUAUCCUUUUAAAACAACCAUAAUACAUGAUAAUGCAAAUGAAACUCAUCAAUGUUAUUCAGUUAUGGAGAGGAUUUGGUCCAGUGGGAACACGUCGCUUCUCAGCACUGAAGUUUGGGCCAUUCUUCUCCAUUGCCGGAGAACAAUGAUAAUACCUUCCAAAAAGGCUGUGAUGGGGGUGGCUGUGGCGGUGAUCUUGCUUGUGAUACAAAGUAGCCAUUGUAGGGGAGACUUGUGCCACUGCAUGGAAUGGUUGAACGUUUGACAUGGAGAUAAGCAAGAGAAAAAUGACAGCUACAAUCUGCAGGCCUGAAAAUGCUUUAGAAGGAAUAAAUCUCUUCAUGUUGUUGAUGUUUGAGAAGAGUGGGGGAAGUGUAGAAGAAGAUGACACUUCAACUAAAUGCAUGAAGAAAGCUAUUUGUCUGUAUAUAUUUAUAUAUAUGAAGCGGCAGUGCCGGCCUGAUGGGGAGUUGAAAGAAGCUAUUUGAACACUAAUUUUGGUCUCCAACAGUUUUUUUUUCCUUUGUGUAAUAAAUGGGCUCUCAAGCUCAGUUUUCUCCUUUGCACGUAUACCAUGCAAA
rnacentral:misc_RNA from 1 species